rnacentral:lncRNA from 1 species
UGGGAAAGCUCUUACUGGCUGGAGAGUUCAUCAACAAGCAUUUGGGCCGCCAAUCUGGGUCGAAAACUGCAAUUGCUUUCAGCCGGAAAACGGCAGAUGCUUCAAAGAUAUAAGGAACAUCACAUUAACAUAAUAUUAUACUCUAUAAACGAUAAAGCAAGGGGGAAAUUUUGUUUUCUCCUCUUGCAUUCUGAUGUGUCUAGUAAGACUACCAUGUUUUAUACGAAAAGAAACUCAAAAUGAAGAGCCAUUCAUUGUCUUCAGAAUCAUUGUAUUGAGAUCAGUUAUAUGCAUAUACAAAAAGUAUUAGUACAAGGAUAGAAGAAAAAAGGACAUUGUCCUCAGAAUCAUUGUAUUGAGAUCAAUUGUAAGAAGUAUAGUACAAGAAUAGAAGAGAAAAGAACAGCUGCAUAAUGAUAUAGCCAUGCCACUAUGUUAUGCUCCUCGGUGGUGUAUUUGGUUUUUCUUUCUUUUUUCUGCUUCUUUCGCAAUCUGUUUCUGGUAAUGCAGGUGGUAACAUUUCUCUGCUCUGACUUGCAUCAAACAAGCUGGGAAUUGGGUUCCAAUUGCAUGGUUUCACGUUCAGUUAAUUUAAGUUCUUGUUGCUGACUUUGUAGUAUUUUUGCCAAUUGAUGGAAUAUUAUUAAUGGUCCCCAAACUUGUACAAAUUGAUUUUCAACUAUAUAAUUUUGUCUUCAAAUGGGUCCUUGCCCAACACUGGUAACGGGUAAUUUUCACCUUGGUCCGCCAUGAAGUUUCAUUUAAUCUCAAUUUCCUUUAGGUUUGUAUAUUAGCCACUAGAGUAUUUCUGGCUGUGCUAAUGCCCAAUUUAUUGUGUAAAAAAUAUUGAAAAAUUUCUUGCCACGACUUGUGCCCACACAAAUUGCUUUUAGCAACAUGGUUGUGCGUGUAUGAAUUUUUUUUUUUUUUUUGUCAACACAAGAGUGUCCGGAUCUAUUCUUACGGGACCCAACUAAUUCCCUACGGCCCGAGAGAGGAGGCCCCACUCCACACCGGUUGUGCGCGUAUGAAAGAUCUUCACUAAUGAGCAACCUGGGCGUUUUCUUGCAAAAGUAUUGAUUUCUAUAAUCAUAAACAAGAGCCUCAAUUCUACAUGCAUAAAGCUCAUAUAUGAAGAAUAGAUAGGAAUAAACAUCUUCUUGGCAUGCAAAUAAAAGAAUCAUAAGUUAAAGAAUUUUUUUUUUGGAACCAAAGGUAAAGUUGAGGUACAUGUCAUCAAUUACAAAUUUGUACACCAAAGAAUUUUCAACCUUCAAGUUUAUUAUCAUUACACUUGCCUUUUUAUUAAGAUAUAAACAUAAUUAAAUCAAGAUCGACUAUAAUCCAAUGAUGAAAUGGCCAAAGCUAUUCUGAUGCAUAGAAGAGGGUCAUUUUUUUGCAAGUGUAGAGCAACAGCCCUUUAGAAAUUGAGUAAAUCUUAUAUACUCUGACAGUGUAUAUACUAUCACCGUUCGAUUCAUGAUAUAUUCAAAUUCAAAUCUUGUAUAGUUGUCAUUCAUCCAACGCUGAUAGUGUAUACACUGUCAGUGUAGGAAAGAUUAAUCCUUAGAAAUUAUACAAAACUGGGAGGAAAAUCACUAAGAAGCUGUCUUGCACUUUAGCAUUAUGUAUGGCAUCUUGUUAAUUUGAAUAUUUAUGGACUCUGCUGUUCAAGCUUGCUGGCGCUGAUGGCUAAUGGUUUCUGCAAAUACUUGCUAUAAAAUGACUAUUUGCAAUUGAAGACAUCUAAGUGUAAAGGAAAACAUUGGUGCUCACAAAUUGAUAAUAGCAGAAAAGCAAGCAAUUGACACAAAAUAAUGAGAACCAGAAAAGGCAGGAGAAAAUUUGAUAAACUAAAUAUGGAAUACCGUAAAGGACUACUUAUUUGAAUUACUGCUUCCGUGUCAUCAAGCAUGAAGACAGCAUUUCUUGCCCCAAAACAAUAUCAAGACCUUUGUGGUGUCUCUGUGUGCAAUCUCUUUGUGCAAUCACUCUGGAGUUGGAAUAGACAUCUCCAGGGUCAAGCAAUUUUGCCAUUUGCAAUGCAUAUGCAUGUUCACCCAUCAUGUAUAUGUACAUCUCAACCAAAAACAGCUUAUUAUCUCAAGUUUGACACAAACAUUUCAUCAAAUGCUUGAUAACCUCAACAGGUGAUCCAACAGAAACAAAUGGACAUUUUAUCCUCCAAAGAUCCGAAUAGAAUUGGAUAAGACAAUGGCCAUAGAAAACCGGUAGCAUACACAAGAAACAUUCAGAAAAUCAAAGAUACUAACCUGUAUUAAUAAAUCCCAAUCUUUCAAUCAAAAGAGGAUGCUGAUAUAACCCCUAGUAUCUUAGGAUACUAGUGUAUGUCAAAAUUCCAGUUCAUUCCAGUUGGAAACUCAGAGAUGGUGUGCAUGACAUCGAAGACAUUUCAAUUAUAUAGUAUGUAUUGCGGAUGUCUUAACCAACACAGAGACACACCUAGAGGGAGACAUGGAGCAUACUUUGUGAGAUAAGGUAGUAAGGAGGCAGAUGGUUGAGAAGUAGAAACAUUUUCUGUUCCAUUUAUAUCAUGAAGUUGGGUGACCAUAAGAUACUAGUUUUCAUUGAACCUGUUUUCACAGGAGGAUGUCCUAUUCAAGGUUGGUCUAAGAUUGAGGAUAGCUCUUGAUAUGAGAAGUGUGGAUUUCAGGGACACAUGUUGAAUUGAUGGAAGGCGAACCCUGAGAGUGAGUAUAAACGUCAUCAAUAUUAAAGGUUAAUAGCAGCUGGCCAUAAUUUGAUUGAUCUAAGGUCGUUAGAUGAGAACCAUUUGAUCCACACAUGGAUGUGACAUUGGGGCAGGAUAAAUGCUUAGAAACAGGCAUAACUCCACUACUAUAAUUUUCAUGAUCCUUCCUAAUCAUGUUACUAUUUGGAUUUGUCAUAGAGUGGAGGUUGAGACCAAUUAGAUGAGUGUUAUUUCCUGAGGUCUGAAUAUCUGCAUAUGCACUGUCAGAAUGCAUAUGCAUUGCAUUAGCAGGAUGAGCCUGAGAAAACAGCAGGUUUCUUGAUAACUCUUCACAUUGUUCUAUUAUGUGAGAGCUGUUUGGGUUCCUUUUGAAUGAAGUCUCAGCAUUGUAACAUUCAUCAAACCAUUUAUCUACUAAACUAAACCUUUAACUUGGAUUCCUUUUUCUUUUCAUCUUAAUGACAGUAGCAGUAAGGAAAUAUGACUAAUUGCAGCUAAUGAAGAGUGUAAAACUAAGUUAUAUAUAUGAAGUCCAAACUGCUAGAUACAACCAGUUGAACAAGAGAUACAAAUGUGAGACUAAUUGUAUGAAUUUGUCGUAUUCGACGAAUGACAAAUCAGAGUGAUUAAAUAAUAAAAGGCAGAAUGUGAAGAAGAAAAGUGAUAUAAAGCAUACAUUCAGCAGAAUUUAACGGUUAAAUAGCAGAACAUAGAACCUGUGAACUCACAACCUAUGAACUUAAUACUCAUACGGGAACUCAUGGUUGCAGAACUUAGAACCCCAGUUACAGCAAACAGAAAAUUAUCCAAUCUAGAACCCAGCAGACUUUCGUGGUUAAAUACCAGAACGUAGAACCUGUGAACUGACAACCUACGAACUUAAUACUCAUAAGGGAACUCAUGGCUACAGAACUUAGAACCCCAGUUACAGAACUCCAAUUACAGCGAAGACAAAAUUAUCCAAUCUGUUGAAUACUUGUAGGGCAAACAAUUAGCCAAAGAGAAACAGUAAUUACCUUUAGCAGGAAAGCUUGCAAAUGUAAAAGUAGAAGGACCAUGAAGCUGAGCAGUAUUGCUUCCUAAUGUAUAAGGACACAAACUUUGUGAGUUGUAACUCUUGAUCAUUUGCCAACUGGCCAACAAACUGAUAAAUAGAAGUAACUGAACAAGAUACACAAAGUCACAAACUAAUUGUUUGAAUUUAUCAUAUUCAACUAAUGAGACUGAUUAAAUACUAAAACAAAAUGCAAGGAAAAAAAACAUUUAAGUGAAACCAAACGAAGUUACAACUAAAAAACUAUCACUAACUUAUGAAACACAAUAAAAGUUUUGGAGAAAAAUUGCAGCACACAUUGAAAGACUGAAGAGAGUGACCUGAAAUUGAAACAACUGUUGAAUAGAAAUCUGUGAACGCUGAAUAAGAAGUUCUUAUGCAUCAAUUCUUUCACAGUGCAAUUAAAUCCCUGUAGAAAUUUGGCAACCAAAAUAAAAAGUAUACAGAGUAUCCAAUCUCUUUAAUACUCGUAGAGAAAAAAAGGGUUAAAAACAAAAAAGUCUCCUAUGGUAUACCUAAUACACAGAAAAUUCCCCCAUGAUUUCAAAACAUACAAAAUGACACCUCAUGUUUCAAACUAAAUUAUAAACUAACAGAAUUCGUUAAAUUUAACGAAAAUGACGGUCUCGGCCUUUAAACUUACUGGAUUCCGUUAAGUUUACCGGAUUCUGUUAAGUUUAACAUUAAGUUUACCGAAUUCCGUUAAAUUUAAUGAAUUUUGUUAGUUUACAAUUUAGUUUAAAACAUGACGUGUUGUUUUGUAUGUUUUAAAAUCACGGGGGAUUUUUUUGUGCAUUAGGUAUACCACAAGGUACUUUUUUAUUUUUAACCUAGAAAAAAAUUAAACACAAAAAAUGAGUAGUUACCUUUAGUAGGAAUGGUUGCAGAGGAAAAGAAGGAAGAAGCGUGGAGUUUUUUGUGAGCAGUAUUUGUGUUCCUAAUGUAUAAACAUACAAAUUUUAUGAGUUGUUAAAGAUUUUUCUUUCAUUCUUGAUAAUUUGCCAACUGGCCAACAAAAAGGAAAAUAAAAGGACAAACCUAUAUCCCUAACAAUGCUAUAAGCCAUCAUGAACACAAUAGAUAAUGACACAAAGUUGAUGAAUUGUUAGAGAUUUUUCUUUCAAUCUUGAUAAUUUCUCAACUGGGGAACAAAAAGGAAGACAAAAGGACAAACUUAUAUCCAUAGUAAUGAAUAGAAAUCAUACUUCAUACUUAACUCUUUUUGGAACAAUCCCACGGUUGAGAUACGGAUAAGCAGCCAUAAUUUAGGGAAAAAUCGUCAAAUUAUUGACCAAGUGGUGGAGGAGUUCAAUUGGUAUUUUUGUUCCUCUAAACUAAAAGGAAAAGAAAGCCAUCAUUUAGGGGAAAAAAUCAUCAAGUUGUUGACCAACUGUUGGAGGAGUUGAAGCCGUAUUUUUCUUCAUUCGAACCAGAAAGAAAACUAAGGAGAAAGAAAGGAAUCGAAAACAGAGAGAGAGCAAUAGAGGAGAAAAAGUAGAGCUGAACAUGAAGACAAUGAAAUUUACAAACAUAUUUGUUGUGGUUCAAAGAUGAGAUAAAGUGCGAUUCGGAAUCACAAGGGCAAGCGUAAUUUAGGCAAAAAACUCAUCAAAUUUUUGACCGUUUGUUGCAGUAGCUCAUCUGCUAUCAUGCUUCUUCUGAAGCAAAAAUAAAACAAAACGGAAACACUACUAAAGAGAGGACAAGAAUGGUAGGCAAAAAGUCAGAAACAACCCUAAACUGUUGGCUACUAUUUUGAGAGCUUUUUUUUUCCACUAGACAGAGUAGUAAUUUUAUCUAAAAAGACAAAAAUGUCCUCAAGGAUGACGUACUAUUUGGAGAAGUACUCAACAUUCCCAAGGCAUAAACGGAAACAAAAUUUUCUCCCUCCCUUCCUGCCGUCAUGUGGAUCAAUCGAAACAUACAAUCCUUAGAUUUUUCUAUGUGUGUAAGAAAUCUGUUGAAUACUUGUAAGGAAAAAAAUUAGCCAAAGAGAAAUAAUAAUUACCUUUAGCAGGAAAGCUUACAGAUGUAAAAGUAGAAGGAUCGUGAAACUGAGCAGUAGUGCUUCCUAAUGUAUAAGGACACAAACUUUAUGAGUUGUUAGAGAUACUUCUGUAACUCUUGAUCAUUUGCUAACUGGCCAACAAACUAGUAAAUAGAAGCAACUGAACAAGAUACAAAAGUCACAAACUAAUUGUUUGAACUUAUCAUAUUCAACUAAUGAGACCAAUUAAAUACUAAA